rnacentral:rRNA from 1 species
AUUGAACGCUGGCGGCAGGCCUAACACAUGCAAGUCGAACGAGUGGCGGACGGGUGAGUCAUGUCUGGGAAACUGCCUGAUUGAGGGGGAUAACUACUGGAAACGGUAGCUAAUACCGCAUACCAUCGGAUGUGCCCAGAUGGGUUUAGCUAGUGGGUGGGGUAAAGGCUCACCUAGGCGACGAUCCCUAGCUGGUCUGAGAGGAUGACCAGCCACACGGGAACGGAGACACGGUCCAGACGCCUACGGGAGGCAGCAGUGGGGAAUAUUGCACAAUGGGCGCAAGCCUGAUGCAGCCAUGCCGCGUGUAUGAAGAAGGCCUUCGGGUUGUAAAGGACUUUCAGCGGGGAGGCGGUACCCGCAGAAGAAGCACCGGCUAACUCCGUGCCAGCAGCCGCGGUAAUAC